GAGAAAAAUGGUUAUGUCUUUAAGCUGCUAACUUAAAAUUCUAGCGGUUAAACUCCGUUAUUUUCUUU
rnacentral:tRNA from 1 species